UACGUAGGGGGCAAGCGUUUGUCCGGAAUCAUUGGGCGUAAAGCGCGUGUAGGCGGCCCGGUAAGUCCGCUGUGAAAGUCGGGGGCUCAACCCUCGAAUGCCGGUGGAUACUGUCGGGCUAGAGUGCGGGAGAGGCGAGUGGAAUUCCUGGUGUAGCGGUGAAAUGCGCAGAUAUCAGGAGGAACACCGAUGGCGAAGGCAGGUCUCUGGGCAUUAACUGACGCUGAGGAGCGAAAGCAUGGGGAGCGAACAGG
rnacentral:rRNA from 1 species